UGCAAGUCGAGCGGAGAGAUGUAGCUUGCUACUGAUCUUAGCGGCGGACGGGUGAGUAAUGCUUAGGAAUCUGCCUAUUAGUGGGGGACAACAUUCCGAAAGGAAUGCUAAUACCGCAUACGCCCUACGGGGGAAAGCAGGGGAUCAUUAGACCUUGCGCUAAUAGAUGANCCUAAGUCGGAUUAGCUAGUUGGUGGGGUAAAGGCCUACCAAGGCGACGAUCUGUAGCGGGUCUGANAGGAUGAUCCGCCACACUGGGACUGAGACACGGCCCAGACUCCUACGGGAGGCAGCAGUGGGGAAUAUUGGACAAUGGGGGGAACCCUGAUCCAGCCAUGCCGCGUGUGUGAAGAAGGCCUUUUGGUUGUAAAGCACUUUAAGCGAGGAGGAGGCUACUCUGGUUAAUACCCAGGGAUAGUGGACGUUACUCGCAGAAUAAGCACCGGCUAACUCUGUGCCAGCAGCCGCGGUAAUACAGAGGGUGCGAGCGUUAAUCGGAUUUACUGGGCGUAAAGCGUACGUAGGCGGCUUUUUAAGUCGGAUGUGAAAUCCCUGAGCUUAACUUAGGAAUUGCAUUCGAUACUGGGAAGCUAGAGUAUGGGAGAGGAUGGUAGAAUUCCAGGUGUAGCGGUGAAAUGCGUAGAGAUCUGGAGGAAUACCGAUGGCGAAGGCAGCCAUCUGGCCUAAUACUGACGCUGAGGUACGAAAGCAUGGGGAGCAAACAGGAUUAGAUACCCUGGUAGUCCAUGCCGUAAACGAUGUCUACUAGCCGU
rnacentral:rRNA from 1 species